rnacentral:rRNA from 1 species
CCCUUAGAUGUCCUGGGCCGCACGCGCGCUACACCGACGGAGCCAGCGAGCGUGUCCUUCGCCGAAAGGUGCGGGUAAUCUUGGCAGCCUCCGUCGUGCUGGGGAUAGAUGGUUGCAAUUAUUGAUCUUGAACGAGGAAUUCCUAGUAAGCGCGAGUCACCAGCUCGCGUUGAUUACGUCCCUGCCCUUUGUACACACCGCCCGUCGCUACUACCGAUUGGAUGGCUUAAUGAGAGCUCUGGAUCUCUGCCGGCGCGGUCCUCACGGGUCGCGUUGGAUGGGGAGAAGUUGCUCAAAUUGAGUCUUCUAGAGGAAGUAAAAGUCGUAACA